GACGAACGCUGGCGGCGUGCUUAACACAUGCAAGUCGAACGGUAAGGCCCUUCGGGGUACACGAGUGGCGAACGGGUGAGUAACACGUGGGUGAUCUGCCCUGCACUUCGGGAUAAGCCUGGGAAACUGGGUCUAAUACCGGAUAGGACCACUGCCUGUCUGGGUGGUGGUGGAAAGCUUUUGCGGUGUGGGAUGGGCCCGCGGCCUAUCAGCUUGUUGGUGGGGGGAUGGCCUACCAAGGCGACGACGGGUAGCCGGCCUGAGAGGGUGACCGGCCACACUGGGACCGAGAUACGGCCCAGACUCCUACGGGAGGCAGCAGUGGGGAAUAUUGCACAAUGGGCGCAAGCCUGAUGCAGCGACGCCGCGUGAGGGAUGACGGCCUUCGGGUUGUAAACCUCUUUCAGCACCGACGAAGCGCAAGUGACGGUAGGUGCAGAAGAAGGACCGGCCAACUACGUGCCAGCCGCCGCCGUAAAAC
rnacentral:rRNA from 1 species